CCUACGGGAGGCAGCAGUAGGGAAUUUUCGUCAAUGGGCGCAAGCCUGAACGAGCAAUGCCGCGUGAACGAGGAAGGUCUUAGGAUCGGUAAGUUCUGUUGAAGGGGAAACAAAGCGGGGAAAGGAAAUGCUGACUGAUUGAUAUUACAGUUAGAGGAAGUGACGGCUAACUACGUGCCAGUAGCCGCGGUAAUACGUAGGUGGCGAGCGUCAUCCGGAAUGAGUGGGCGGAAGGGGUGCGUAGGCGGCCUGCUAAGUCGGGAGUGAAAGGUACUGGCUCAACCGGUACAGGCGCUGGAAACUGGCGGGCUAGAGAGCAGGAGAGGGCGGUGGAAUUCCAGGUGUAGCGGUAAAAUGCGUAGAUAUAUGGAAGAACACCAGUGGCGAAGGCGGCCGCCCGGCCUGUUACUGACGCUGAGGCACGAAAGCGUGGGGAGCAAAUAGGAUUAGAUACCCGAGUAGUC
rnacentral:rRNA from 1 species